rnacentral:misc_RNA from 1 species
UCCGCGAGGCUGCCCCUCAGCCC